UAUAUUUAUUGGACCCGAUACUGAGACGAGCUUAUUAGGAACAGGUAUGCAUUCGCAUGACCAAACAGGUGUCUGUCGCAAAAGACUCUGAAGAUUCCUAAUAAGGAGUGAAAGACUAAUCAAGUUCAGUGAUAGCUGGUUUCCUGCGAAACCUAUUUGGGUAAGGUUGUAAUAUAAAACAACUCAGGAAGCCGGCAUAGCCAGAGUCUUAAAGACUCUGGCUAUGCCGGCUCUCUGCCCCUAGAGCAAGCUCUGGGGAGAGGUUAGUACUUCGGUGCGAAUCGGAGUUGAUUCAAUUUUGCAAAUCAGACACUUGGCGGGAAGGUGGAGUGUCGAAAGAAAAAAAGUUCUAAAGUGUAGCUAAAGUCCCAAAAUUUUAGAUUUUAUUUU
rnacentral:rRNA from 1 species